rnacentral:rRNA from 1 species
GACGAACGCUGGCGGCGUGCCUAAUACAUGCAAGUAGAACGCUGAAGGAGGAGCUUGCUUCUCCGGAUGAGUUGCGAACGGGUGAGUAACGCGUAGGUAACCUGCCUGGUAGCGGGGGAUAACUAUUGGAAACGAUAGCUAAUACCGCAUAAGAGUAGAUGUCGCAUGACAUUUGCUUAAAAGGUGCAACUGCACCACUACCAGAUGGACCUGCGUUGUAUUAGCUAGUUGGUGAGGUAACGGCUCACCAAGGCAACGAUACAUAGCCGACCUGAGAGGGUGGUCGGCCACACUGGGACUGAGACACGGCCCAGACUGCUACGGGAGGCAGCAGUAGGGAAGCGUCGGCAAUGGACGGAAGUCUGACCGAGCAACGCCGCGUGAGUGAAGAAGGUUUUCGGAUCGUAAAGCUCUGUUGUAAGAGAAGAACGAGUGUGAGAGUGGAAAGUUCACGCUGUGACGGUAUCUUACCAGAAAGGGACGGCUAACUACGUG